UGCUCUUCUGAUCUGCAUGGAUUCUGUGAAGGAACAACACCUAAGCCCAAGAGGGCAGCUGUUGCAGCAUCCAGUUCAUCUUAAGGAUUUCAACAAUUAGUCACACAAUAAA